GGUGAGGAAUGCAUCGGAAUCUGCCAGUCGUGGGGGGAUAACCCGGGGAAACCCGGACUAAUACCGCAUACGACCUUCGGGUGAAAGCGGGGGACCGUAAGGCCUCGCGCGAUUGGAUGAGCCGAUGCCGGAUUAGCUUGUUGGCGGGGUAAUGGCCCACCAAGGCGACGAUCCGUAGCUGGUCUGAGAGGAUGAUCAGCCACACUGGGACUGAGACACGGCCCAGACUCCUACGGGAGGCAGCAGUGGGGAAUAUUGGACAAUGGGGGCAACCCUGAUCCAGCAAUGCCGCGUGUGUGAAGAAGGCCUUCGGGUUGUAAAGCACUUUUAUCGGGGAACGAAACAUUGUCGGCCAAUACCCGGCAAGACUGACGGUACCCGAGGAAUAAGCACCGGCUAACUCCGUGCCAGCAGCCGCGGUAA
rnacentral:rRNA from 1 species